GUGGCAGUUCUUUUAUUGCUGCAUCACCCAGAAGAUAUGGUGUAGCUGAAACAUGCCACAUAUAUUAAAGAUGGUUCCCACCGACGAGCCCUUUGGAGUUGUCAGGGUCUCUGUGCGAUGGUUCCGAACAUG